rnacentral:tRNA from 2 species
UCUAAUAUGGCAGAUUAGUGCAUUGGAUUUAAACCCCAAAUAUAAAGAUAACUCUUUUUUUAGAA